ACAUACGCGUAGAGUUUGAUCAUGGCUCAGGAUGAACGCUGGCGGCGUGCUUAAUACAUGCAAGUCGAACGGAAUGUAGCAAUACAUUUAGUGGCGAACGGGUGAGUAACACGUUGGUGACCUGCCCCGAAGUGUGGGAUAACAGUCCGAAAGGAUUGCUAAUACCUCAUGUGGUUGCCGGGUUUAGAAGCUGGCAACUAAAGCAGUAAUGCGCUUCGGGAGGGACCUGCGUCCCAUCAGCUAGUUGGUGAGGUAACGGCCCACCAAGGCUACGACGGGUAAGGGACCUGAGAGGGUGGUCCCUCACAAUGGCACUGAAACACGGGCCAUACACCUACGGGUGGCAGCAGUAGGGAAUAUUGGGCAAUGGGCGAAAGCCUGACCCAGCAACGCCGCGUGUGCGAUGAAGGCCCUCGGGUCGUAAAGCACUUUUCUGAGGAAUGAGAAUGGACAGUACCUCAGGAAUAAGUCUCGGCUAACUACGUGCCAGCCGCCGCGGUA
rnacentral:rRNA from 1 species